rnacentral:snRNA from 1 species
GUACUUGUUUCGGUGGUACAUAUACUAAAAUUGGAACAAUAGAGAAGAUUAGCAUGGUCCCUGCGCAAAGAUGACACGCAAAAUCGUGAAAACCGUGUGUGUUUC